rnacentral:lncRNA from 1 species
UUCAACUAAUUGGACUACUAGAUUCAUUGUAGUAGAAAAUGUUUUUUCAUUGACACCCUUUCCCUAAUAGUACCGGAAAACUGUGUUUAUUUCAGGAGCCAGUUGGUGCCCCCCUUAGGCACUUUAACAGUAUUUUUUAGGGUUUUCUUGGGAUAAACAUAAACCUGAUAAUUGCGAAAUACGUGUGCGUUUAGUAUAUAUCUCAACCGAGAGGAAAUGUACUGUGAUCAUUGUCCAUGGAGGACGUGUUUACAGGACAGGGGAGACAGUAGCAAAGGGGUCAAUGGGAAUUAAGUGACGACAUUGUUUGGCGUUUGCCUUGGGGGAUACUGUUCGCCCCUUGCAUUUCUAGAUGUUAUCUUUUUUUCUGCAUUUUAAAUUCCUUGGAAUUUUGAAAUUUUCUAUCCAUAUAGAAGCUUUGCUACUUUGUUAAAUUUUGUAAUGAAAUAAAUCUAAAUAAUUUAUGUGAAUGAUUUUUCUUACAAAUGGAGGUAUUCAUCUAUUAACAAUUCAGCUUGCUGGUAUUUUAAUUUCCUCGGAAUUUCAAUUGAAUAACCCUAAAGCACAGGCACAUGGCAUUGAAAUAUCACUUUUAUUUUACAAUCAAAUCACUUUAACAGUAUUCUUUAGGGUUUUCUUUUAUUGGGAUAAACAUAAACCUAAUAGUUGCAAAAUACGUGUGCGUUUAGUAUAUAUCUCAACCGAGAGGAGAUGUACCGUGAUCAUUAUGGUUGUGGUUCUGACUCUUCUACCAUUAUUGGUUGACUUUGACAUCUAGUACGAAAGCCAAACUGUUUUAACUGUUGUUUUAAGAUGAUUCACAACUCCUGUGGAGUGACUGAAAUGUAGAACUGGAGGGAAAAAUGUGUUUUUUUGCACUUAGGAUGGUAGGUUUCCACUACUGUUUAUCAAUGCUUUCUACAAUUUAUGCUUGGAACUGGGAACUUAUUCAUGCCAAUAUGUUUUAUUGACCAAUGACAUUUUUCUAGGUGCUAAAUCACUGUCAACUUGAUUUUGGUCUGAGAUUGAUAAACACAUUAGGAUCUCUUGCAUAAUAUAUAAUAAAUGAUUAAAUUUUUUUUCCAUCAUUAUGCAUAGUAAAAUUGUUAGUAAUCUUUCAUGAACAUUUUUCCGUCUAUUUAUAAUUGUUCUUAUUUUUUUAUGCAACCUGGAUGUCAUAAACGCUAGUAGUUUGGUGUUAACAUGUAAAUCCCGCUAUUGAAGUUAACACUUGAUUUGAUUUGGGAGUUGUGGCAUCACAUUUCUGCUCUACCCUGAUUGUAGCUGGUUCUGAAUGUACAUUUGCAUUGCUUUAAUUGAUGUUUUGACAUUGAAGCUUGUACAGGGGUGAGAGUGUUACCUAGCUAAAAAGCAUGUCAGCUGGACCUGGACUUGAGUCCCUUGUAGAUCGUAAGCCAUCUAUGAAUAUUAUGUUUUGCUACAAUGUUUUAUAUUCUAUACGUAGCUAUGUUAUUUAUUGUGCUUAUCAAUGACAAUUAUUUUAGUUAAUUAAACAUUGGAAACUAAUUCUCCAUCCAAUUUUGUUUCCGUCAUCUAUGAUAUAUGCUCUAAACAUGCUAGUAGUUGCUAUCCUUUACUGGAUCUUUUGUUUGUUGACAGAGACAAUUUCAGUCAUUACAAAUGAUGGACGGAAUAUAGUGGUAUGCUUUUGUAUAUGAACAAAAUUCAGCUUUUUUGUCAGUUGUGUUUUAAUAAGUGUCAUUGCUCAGGCUACAAACAUGUCUUCUUUUUGUUCAGGGAGUCCUGAAGGGCUUUGACCAGGCAACAAACAUAAUUCUUGAUGAGUCCCAUGAGCGAGUUUAUUCUACAAAGGUAUGUUGAAACUAUGCAGUUGUUGAAACAUUCCUUCAAAGAUUAAUGAGCCAUAACUUUAGUGAAUUUUGAUAUGUAGCUUCAAAAGUUAGUUCCUUAAAGGUGGACAUGCUCACUAUUGAGGGUAAAGAAAGCCCAUUUUUUCCAUUCAAUGUUUAAAAGGCUAAGAUUGACCCUUUCCGUUGUAAUGUUGUUAAAUUAUUAAAUAUGAAACACAUAAAACUAAUCCCUCUUGCCCACUUGUUCUCUCCAUUAGAUGACAAGCAAGGCUAUGCGGUAUUAGAUUCUGCAUUAGGCAAAGGGCUAGAUCCAUUUCCACCGCGCAAAAUGUUAGAUAUACUUGAGAGUGAAUUAUUUUUCCAUGACUAAGAAAGACCUUGCAAAACUGGUUUGGUAAUGCCAACAUUCACAACAACCACAGGAUUUUUAUCUUACUAGGAGAGGUCUAUUACAUGAAUUACAUUACACCAAUGGGUUUGGUUAAAAACAACUUCUGAUGAUACUAUUCAUUAGGAGACUCCUUUGAGUAAUUUCCUUCAAUGUCCUUCUAUGUCUCCCUUUACCCAUUUUCGCAAACUCAAUCAUAUGAUAUGUUCUCUUCAUCCGUCUCUAAUAACCUUCUUUGAAAGUGUCUGUUGGUGGCAUCUAUGUUUUACCAAAUAUUUUUCCUCUGUUUCUUAUAAUUGCAAUAUAUAUACUCACUUUUACACUUGAGCAAAAUUCCUUUGGUUCUAUAGUUCUCACUCCCAAAAAUUUUACUACUUUUUAUUACUCAACUUGUUAUUUUUCUCCAUUUUUGGUUGAAGAAAAUUUUCUUUCUUUGCAUACAAUCAAUAUUUCUCCUGAUAGUCUGUUUCAUAGAUAUUUGUCUUUUAUAUGUUGUUUGUGAGCAUGGGAGUUUCCUCCUUGAAUUCGAGGACAAGAACCUUCUAAAAGAAAGAUAAAAUGCUGGAAUACUUCUCUGCCUUUUUGUUCAUUCGUUUCAGUGUUUUUAUAGGAAGAGAAUUCCGAUACAUCUAUUGGUCUUCUGCAGCAAUGAAGGGAAUGACAGAAUUGGUAAUAAUGGAAUGAAAAUGGAAGCUUGUUAAGAAAUCUAAAAUAAUAAACUCAGAAAAUAAAGGAAUUAGAUCUUCUUGUAUCUUCCAAUUUAGUCUCUGAAAUGCACAGGUUUGGAGAUGUUUCUCUUGAGCCUGUUGACUUUUAUCCCAAUGAAGCUUGGACCUUCCUUUGCAUUUCUUGAAUUCCUGAAUUUUUCUCAAUAUUGGGCUUCCUAUCAUGUUAUUGCUACUUCUAUCUUGAAAAUUAUCUCUCAAUCGAUGCCUCUGCCUCGACAAUGAUUGUUGCAUUUUUUUCUUUUGUUUUUGUUGUGCUUUUCUCUAUUUUAUAUAUGUGUUGCAUCUAUCUUUCUCCAUAAUUGGAUUCUUGAGUAGAAGUGAUUUUGUGUGUAACGGAAGUAGAUGAAAUGGAAGAGGAAUUGUUAGCUAAAUGAUGAGAGUAAAACAUAGUAAAGCCUUCUGUUCUAGGGGGUUCACAAAGUCUAUUGUGUGCUUGUCUCCUGAAGCCCGAUUGUUUCUUUUACGUAACAGGUGGAAUGGUAAAAUCUUCAUAUACAUGCAUACACACAUAACUAUGUAUGUGUCUGUGGAUUGGGGAAAAAAAAAACAAAAGUAACAUUACAAUUUGAAGUGUUGUUCUCAGCCGUUAAAACUUCGGACAGUAAAGUUCUGGUUACUUCCUCCAAAGUGAGUUUGUUCACUUUAGAAAAGUCAAUCCCUAGCUUUGAGCUAUUGAUUGCUCUACCAGGAAUUGUCAAUUGUUUUGUUAAUUUUGCUAUAAUCUCUCCCGACCCUAAAUCUUUGCUUCAUUUGAACUUUUGUAUCAGCUGCGUAUUUUUUCUUGAAUGUCACGCUUUAAGUCUUUUACUAUUUUUAUGUCUUCCUAAUGUCAUCAUGGUUCGUGUUUCUAACUGUAGGAAGGUGUACAACAACUUGUUCUUGGUUUAUACAUCAUCAGGGGUGACAACAUGUAUGACCCUUACUCCAUUUUUCAAGUUGUUCAUCACAUAGAUUUCAUGUUGUGGCACUAUUUACAUGCCGAGUUAUGUAUGAUGGUUUCCCUUUGGUCAUUGCAGAAGUGUUGUUGGUGAACUGGACGAAGAUCUGGAUUCUAAUCUGGAUUUAUCAAAACUUAGAGCUCAUCCCUUGAAACCUGUCAUCCACUGAGUGGAAAUACUUUCCAUGGAUCUGCUGGGUGAAAAGAGUGAGUUUUGCGGCACUCUAUGCCAAUUACGCUGUGAAACUCUCUAAGAAUAUACCAGAUAGCAGAACUUUUCCAAUAUUCUGAUUCUAUUAAGCAUGUAAGUUUUGUCGAACAAAUGAAUGCAACAAAUUGACUAUCUGACGUGAAGAAACUGCCCUCUAUUUGGUUAAAAUUGAUACGGAAGUUAUUUACAAGUGAAAAAUGUGUAUGAUUAUAGUUAUUUUAAAAAACUUACAUUUUACAAAAAAGAACAACUCUUUUUUCUUUUUCUGUGUGUAUUGAAUGCAGCAUGAACAAGGCAUGUGAAAUUGAUUUUUGAGGGGGAAGAUGAUUCGAAUGUCAACAAACACGUGGUGGUGGCAUAAGAACAUAAUCUUAAUUGUAGAGGUGAAUAUCAUUUUAAUCAUAAAUUGAUUGAAUAAAUAAUUUAAAAAAUAUACAAUUAUAUAUUAAAUAAUUAAGUUAUAAUAAUAAUAUAAGAAGAAACUAAUGGUUAUAUAUUUUAUCUUUUGUUUAUUUGUUAUUAUUUUCUUCCAAUCAUUAUUUGUAUUUUGAUUUGAGUUUAAUUUUUUUUAUUAUAAAUAUAGUAUUUUAUGUGUAGUUUUGAUAUAAAUGUGAUUAAUUUUAUAUUUAGUUUUAAACUAUAUUGAAUAUUAAUAAUGAAGAAAGAAUGAAACUAAAAAUGUAAGGAAAAAAUGUAGAACGGCAUUUAUCAAAUGUGAGCAAAAUAAGAAUAUGAAGUAAAACAAAAUAAGAGAAAAAUAUCUAAGAGAUGAAAGAAACAAAACACGUAAUUCGAGAUGUAAAGUAUCUUCCUAUUCUAAAUUCUGAAAAGAAGCAUUAUUAAUUUAUUAAUUAUAAUAAACGCAUUACCUUAACAGAAUGGGGAAUUUUAGAAUUUUGGGGUGCAGGAAGAAAAAGGUGGGAUACAGGAAGAAAAAAGUGGGAUGCAGGAAGAAGCACCCCACUCUGCUAUUUACACUCCCAUUUGUAUCCUUAUAAUAAGCCUAAUUACCUUUAUUUCUUGUACACUGUAUUUUACUCUUAUUUCAAUUUUUAUACUCACAAUAUUUUUACUAUUUGUUAUUUUAUAUUUUUCACAUAUAGACCAAUUUCUUUAUUUUAAAUCAAAAUUGCAUAUUGUGAAAAUUUUAAUAAUAAUAUUUAAAACUAUUAAUUAUCAUGUUAAAUUUUGAACUUAUUUGAUCAUUAGAAUUUUUAUUUAUAUAAAAUUUUAAAAAGUUAAUUAUCAUUUAACUUGUUUGAUAAUUUAAAAUAUUCUUUAUCUAGAAGUUAAGUUAAACUCUUUCAAGGUAGUUUUUCUAAUCAUGGAUAACCUGUAUUAAUAUUAUGAUCAAAAGAAACUCGUUGGUAGACAUUUUGAUUUUUCAUUUUUAAACAAUAAAUAUAAAAACAUAAAAAGUUAUUUCUGUGAUAAUAAGUCUUUCAAUGGUUUUAUUUUAAAAUAGAACAUUUUUUGGGACAUUUUUAAAAUUUGUCCUUUUUAUAUUUUCUUGCUUACUUUCAACUUUUCUUCGUAAUGUAUAUAUUUAUUAAAAUUUUAACUUUUAGUAUAUACGUUAUAUUAUAUGUAAAUAUAAGUUAUUUUAUGAGAAAUACAAAUUCAAAACACAAUUGUGUGAUUUUAAAUUUUUGUGUGGUGUUUGAUUCCAAGUUGAGUUUGAAUGAACAAAAAAUCAAAAUAUAUUUUAAACCAAUCUCACAAGAACUAUUGUUGUUAUUGCGAAACCCUUCCGAAGACCCUGCCACCGUCGCUUACGCUGUCCGCCGCCAUACUCUUUGUCGUCCCCGACGCGCCGUGAUAUAAGGUUUUCCAUUCUAGACUUCUCAGAAUGUUUGUUUUUUUGCUUUGUGUGCCGUUGUAUCUAUCAAUUUCGCUGAAUACCUUUUCACUCUGUUUUUGCUUUAGCUUUCCAGAGAAUGUUUCUUCAACUGAUUCAUCGUAGAAAUUGUUUUUUCAUUGACACCCCUUCCCUAAUAGUACCGGAAAACUGUGUUUAAUUCAGGAGCCAAUUGGUGCCCCCUUAGGCACUUCAACAGUAUUUUUUAGGGUUUUCUUUCAUUGGGAUAAACAUAAACCUAAUAAUUGCGAAAUACGUGUGCGUUUAGUAUAUAUCUCAACCGAGAGGAGAUGUACUGUGAUCACUGUCCAUGGAGGACGUGUUUACAGGACAGGAGAGAAAGUAGCAAAGGGGUCAAUGGAAAUUAGGUGAAGAC